rnacentral:rRNA from 1 species
AGAGUUUGAUCCUGGCUCAGGAUGAACGCUAGCUACAGGCUUAACACAUGCAAGUCGAGGGGCAGCAUGGUCUUAGCUUGCUAAGGCCGAUGGCGACCGGCGCACGGGUGAGUAACACGUAUCCAACCUGCCGUCUACUCUUGGACAGCCUUCUGAAAGGAAGAUUAAUACAAGAUGGCAUCAUGAGUCCGCAUGUUCACAUGAUUAAAGGUAUUCCGGUAGACGAUGGGGAUGCGUUCCAUUAGAUAGUAGGCGGGGUAACGGCCCACCUAGUCUUCGAUGGGUAGGGGUUCUGAGAGGAAGGUCCCCCACAUUGGAACUGAGACACGGUCCAAACUCCUACGGGAGGCAGCAGUGAGGAAUAUUGGUCAAUGGGCGAGAGCCUGAACCAGCCAAGUAGCGUGAAGGAUGACUGCCCUAUGGGUUGUAAACUUCUUUUAUAAAGGAAUAAAGUCGGGUAUGGAUACCCGUUUGCAUGUACUUUAUGAAUAAGGAUCGGCUAACUCCGUGCCAGCAGCCGCGGUAAUACGGAGGAUCCGAGCGUUAUCCGGAUUUAUUGGGUUUAAAGGGAGCGUAGAUGGAUGUUUAAGUCAGUUGUGAAAGUUUGCGGCUCAACCGUAAAAUUGCAGUUGAUACUGGAUAUCUUGAGUGCAGUUGAGGCAGGCGGAAUUCGUGGUGUAGCGGUGAAAUGCUUAGAUAUCACGAAGAACUCCGAUUGCGAAGGCAGCCUGCUAAGCUGCAACUGACAUUGAGGCUCGAAAGUGUGGGUAUCAAACAGGAUUAGAUACCCUGGUAGUCCACACGGUAAACGAUGAAUACUCGCUGUUUGCGAUAUACAGCAAGCGGCCAAGCGAAAGCGUUAAGUAUUCCACCUGGGGAGUACGCCGGCAACGGUGAAACUCAAAGGAAUUGACGGGGGCCCGCACAAGCGGAGGAACAUGUGGUUUAAUUCGAUGAUACGCGAGGAACCUUACCCGGGCUUAAAUUGCAGAUGAAUUACGGUGAAAGCCGUAAGCCGCAAGGCAUCUGUGAAGGUGCUGCAUGGUUGUCGUCAGCUCGUGCCGUGAGGUGUCGGCUUAAGUGCCAUAACGAGCGCAACCCUUGUUGUCAGUUACUAACAGGUUCCGCUGAGGACUCUGACAAGACUGCCAUCGUAAGAUGU